CAGCAGAACAAUGAGGCGGAAAUGGCUGCUGGUACAUCUGGUCAUCUCUGCAGCUUAUCACACAUUUGAUUUCCAUGUGUGACAACUGCAAGUGUCCAGAGUGAGGACAGACUGAGGGACCCACUGCUGCACAUCAUCUGUGAGGCUUUGCACCCCUGAUGAUCCACCAGGACAAACUCAGCAGUGUGUGAAAACAAAAACAAAAACAAAGGCACUGGGCAUGCGUGUUUUACCCAUAUUCUAUAGAAAAAUUUCAUUUUCGUAUCACUGCCUAACAUUAUACUGGUAUUACCGUGAAUGGUAUGAUAUGGCCCAGCCCUAACGCUGGCUGAAGGAAACGUGGAAAUGACUUUCCCCUGUCCCUGGAUCUAUGUGAAACAGGCCCAGGUGUCACUGAUUUAACCCUAGAACACUAUCGCUAUAAAUAGUAAUACUAUCACUAACGCCGGGCGAUUUUUAUGUGAUAUAAUAUACCCCCAAAAAAGCACUUAUCAUCAAAAUAUAUCAAAAUAUGACAACACAUGACAAAUUAGAGUGGUCUUCUGUUAUUUUCAACUGUGCCAUGUCUAACAAAAUGAAAAAAAAAAAGUGUUAUGGAAGGACCCUAAACAAAAACCAAAAAAAAAAAUCUUCAAAAUUACUGAAAAAUUUGGAAUUCAAGAACAAAAAAUUCCUAAACAAAAUAAUAAUGACACUGGAAAGUUGGUCUUUAGUCCACCCAUUCCUGGGACAUUUGAGACUUCCCUGGGGAAAACACAGUCUCCUCAACACGCGAACAGCUGAAGGAGAGAGAAACAAAAAAUAUUUUUGAGUGGGUAAAAAUGACCACUUCAUAAAUCACCACUUUGUGAUAUUUAUUCAUAACCACUGCACUAAAAAAGGAUAACACUCUUACUACCUAUUCCUUACAUGCAGUCAGUACACGCAGGGUAGUAAUGGUGUGGACACACUUCCCAUCCUAGCCUGCAGGGCAUUAGCACACCUCACUAAGGGACUACUGCUUUCUGCUGCCACUGGUCCUGACUUACCUGCAAGAGUGCCAGUGGUAGGGAUGUCGAGCACACUACAGGCUGCUGCUAGUCCCCUCUCCACCCUCCGCUCACAGAUGGCUGCUGUAAGAUUGCUCCUGUUUUUGCCUCUAGCAUCUAUUUCUGCAGCGCUACAGCUGGGUUUGCAGGCGAAGCUUGGAGAUGACGUCACUCUCCAUUGUCAGAUUACCACAGAUGAAAGGAUCUCAGUGCUGAAGUGGAGCAGAGCUGACCUGAACACAGACGGCUACGUCUACUUCUACAGGAACAAACGCUCCUAUGAAAACUACCAACAUUCAUCUUUUCAUGGCCGAGUGAAGCUGAGGGACCCGGAGAUGAAGGAUGGAGACGUUUCUCUGAUCCUGAAGAACGUCACGUUUAAUGACACUGGGAUGUAUGAGUGUCACGUAGCAGUGAGGAACCCUGGGAGAAGUAAAAGAGUUCACACUAAGAUCAGUCACUUCAUCAACCUCACAGUCACAGGUGAAACGCAUGAAAAUAUGCAUGAGAGACACAUCGUGGAAAGAGAAGAUGGAAGUGGAAACAUGUAUGACAUGCAACAGGCUGGAAAUCCGCCUGUCCUUAUGUUUGCUGGAGUUACUGCCAUCAUCAUCGUCAUCAUUGUUGUUCCUGCAUUUCUUUUGUUUGUGCUGCUCCUUAAAAUCAUAAGAAACAAAAAACUAGCUGUGCCUCCUAAUCAGGAAGCUACUGGUCUGAAAUGUUAAAGUUUCUUUUUUUUAAAGAAACUUCAAACGCUGAUAUUUACAUUCUUGCAAUAUCAAUUCCUUUUAGUACAUUUAUCAAGUAAUCAAAACUAAAAGAACCUCGCUGUUUCGGUUGAGCAAUUUGACAGUAUUUAGAGGGGGAAAAAAAUAGAAAAAGAAAAAAGCACUCAAGUUGUCUGCAGAGAAGACAAACACAACUUUGCCAGUUGUCUAGAUAACAUUAACCUUAAAAAAAAAAUCAAAAAAAAAAAAAUCCAGUUUUAAAUUUAAAACUGGAUUUUUUUAAAUGCUAAAAAUAGGUUUAGACAAAGUAAAGGAAAUGACUGAUUCUGGGUCAGAAGUCAUCACCAACGAUGAUCCAGACCUCAGGAUUAAAAAGGAACAGUUUUAAUGAUAAAAUGAUUACUGAAGAUGUGCCGCUGGCCUUGAAGCUGAAAAGAGUUAAACUCAGGAUACAUUUCAAGUUGCUGAGUUAAAUAGCAAAGAUUUUUUAUUAAUUAAAAAAACUGAGCUUUUAAAAAUGUGUAGUUUGAGUUUCUCCUUUUCCUCUUUAACUUCAUUUCCCACAGUGAGCAUCUGAGCUUCAGCCCUUUGCACUGUUUCCCCGCCUUCUUUGAACUUUCUGUUUCUGUUCUCGCACACGCUCUGCGUAAAUAAUUUGAUUGGGUGAGCAGCAUCGUGUGGGAUAACCUAUAAUGCACGCGAGUGAUCUGUGCCAUCUUCGGCCAGAUUAAAAUAUAUGGGAAUAAGAACUGUAUGUAUGAGAAAAGGUCCGCAGAGUGAUCGGUAAUAGAUCUGGGUGCAGAUCCAGUCCGUGGUUUGCAUAUUGGUGAUGUGGCAUUAGAUUGAAAAAAAAUACUCAGUGGCUAAACAUGAAUUCAAACCUCCACACAGGUUUAUGUUAAAGGUAAAAACAGAUUUGUUUGAAGGUUGAUGUGGGAUUAAAGGAGUUGUAUCAGCUCUGCAAGCAGAAAACUGAACAGAACCUUAGUCUCAACGUCCUCAUAUUAAUACAGGAAGUUACUGAACACAUGAGACAGAAGCAACAUGUUUUCAUUAUGCUCACCUCAAACAAGCCAACUGAUGAUGCUCAGGUAACAGCAGUGGACGGAAAAAGGCUGGAAUUUGUAUUUUUGGUGCUAUUUUUCUUGGAAUUGUGUGAAUUUUCUUAAUUUAAAUGUAUUAUUUAAUUAAUAAAUUUUUUCCUGUCCUUUCCGAAAGUGUAGCAUUCAGGAUUGCUGAAGGCUAAAAAUGCCCAAUGGUUUACAUUCCCAAGUGGACCAUUAUGGCAUUUGCUACAAUGGUCCACUUGAUAGUUAUAAUUUAUUAAAACUUUAUUAGGAUUUUUUUUUUAUUUUGAGUUAUUACAACCACAGCAGACAAGAACAGGGGACAGAAAAGAAAAAGAGAGAGCGAAAACCUUGAAAAUCUUCCUCAACACCUGAAAUGAAAACAUACAAAGAAAAUAAAGUUUUAAUUUCAGUGGCAGAUCUCACACACGCUGCUCACUGCUGUAAAACUGAAAAUGAGGUUUAGUGAUUAGAAAACUAAAAAGCUGGAGCCAUAAGGUUCUUUCCACAUUAAGAAACUGUGAUUAUGAAAGUUUCAUGCUGACUUGAGAAUUGCUACAACUGACAAACAAAGAAUAUCUUUACACAACACAGUAACCGACCUCUGACUAUAUAAAGAUCAUUUAGAGACAUUUCGCUUUUGUAUUGAAACCACAAAAUAUUAAUUAACAUUAAUUAACAAAAUAAAAAUUCUUUGAUUUGUAUUUAAUUUUGUGUUUCAUUUUAAAAUGUCAUUUUACUGAAAGUUCAUGAACUUCAUGAGCUCUGAAUCCACUCUGUGUCAGCUGCUUUAUGUUCACGCUGAGGUGACCUGUAAUGAUACAUACUCUGCACGAUUAAACUUUCUCCUGCACUCUCUCUGUUUAUCUGCAGUAACAGAAACAGAACAAAUCAUCUUUUUUUCCUCUUCCUCAGUUAAAAAAAAGACGUCUAGAUAGUGUGUGACAGAUUUUAUGUUGAUGAUGUUUGAAUAUUUGUGUCUUCGAUGAUGAUCCUAGUUGUCACUCAAGCUGCUCUGCUGCCACCUGGAGGCUUGAAAGUGUUAAAGCAUCAAUCUACAGCUCAGUGAAUGUGACAUCAGAAUAACCAGCACAGCCAAAGAAUCCUGAAUAAACUGAAGUGUUUGCAGUACAGCUGCAGUGCUGAUGGGUCGCACUUCACUUCCGCUCAAAGUGAGAGUCCAGAUUCAAGUUUGAACAAAACUUGCAAAGAAAAAGUUAAAGCUGUUGUGUUGAUAUUUGAAGUGCUUUGAUUAUUUUUGGAUAACAAGAGAACAUGCGCAUCAGCUAAGAAGGAAAAAAGUUCACAUUAACUGAGACUGAUGACUAACUAAACAUAAUUAGUUUUAUUUUUGAGCAGCUGAAAGUAGCUACAAGCUAUGUCCUCUUUCAAAGUUACAGCAAUCUACACACAGAUCUUCAGGUAUCUGUUACAAAUUGGUACGAAAGCUUUUGUACAAACAGUUCCGCUGCGUUUAUUACCUAGCCUUUUAUUGUUAAACAAGUCAACGGACUUGCUGUAGUAAGAAGUUACCUUUAUGAGAUUAUGCCUUUAUCCCAAUUCAGGGUCUGCAGCCUUGGAGCAUGUGGCCUUCGCGAUCUACGUGGGCCAUGUCCUCAAAGACCGAGAAGGCCGGAAGUGUGCUUGUGAAAUGGGACGGUCUAACCUCCAUCCCCAGGUUGCCUAGCAACCAUGAUACUAACAGCCGGAAACGUUUCAUACAUCAUUGUUUAACAGAAAUUAAGGAGAAAAUCUUUUGUUCAUUUGUUUGUUUGUUUGUUUUUACAUGAGCUCUGUGUGAUUUGAUAAGUAUCUGAGGCUGAGACCACAGGACUGUAAAACAUGAUAGUUGGGCUUCAUUUCUGUACUGAACAGUCAUUUUAAGAUUAGCUAGUAAAUAACAAUUAGCUAAUGUUGUUCAUGAGACUAAAGUCAUCUUACUUUGAUAAUGUAAAUAUAAUAUGGCCAAUAUUAUAGUUAUUAUAUUAAUCAUUAUUAGUUAUUACAGCAGUGAACAUGAACUCUGUGUCAAAUACUGAGCUUCAGUAAAGAUUCAAGUUGCAGUUAUUUAUAUGUACUAUCACCUUAAAUGUUCACUCAAAGACAAGUAUCUUUGACAGUGUAUAUACAGAUGUAUUAUAUAUAAGAGACAAACAUUGUUCUUUUAAUAUGUUGGCAUUACUAAAUUUGGCUUUGUUUUGCUUUUUUUAAUCAACAUAAAGUGAACUUUUUUAGUCAUGCACAGAGAGCCUGGUGUGGUUGCGGAUCUAAAUGCAGAAAGAGGAGAUGUUUUUACGCCUGAUGCGGUGAAAUUUUCCUUCAAACUUUGUUUGGUCAACUGUGGUUUGUUUAAAAAUGUUAAAUGUCAUGUUUUAAUGUCAGUUUCAUGCAUUAAAAAUGCUUUUGUUACGGUUUGGAGGAGGACUCAAGCGCAGGACUCCGAUUCUGAUGCUCACAGAAAGGGUUUAUUUACAAUGCACCAGGUGUAUAUACAAGAAUGUGCGGGGGGUGCUAUAUACAGCUGAGUGAGGGGAGAAGGGGUCUCCAGGGAAGUCCAGGGGAAAGCACGCGUUCUUCAGAGUAUCCACUCACACGAUCACAGGCUUACACGGGAAUCACACGGGGGGAAAAUCCAGGGAGCUCUGUAGACAGGGAGACAGGGUAAGUACGACGCACACAGGAAAACACUCUUAACUAACUUGCUGUAGCUUGGCUUCACUAACGCGUGGUAGACAACGAUCCAGCGACGAACAGCAGUCACCUCCUGGCUUAAAUGCUGACCAUCAUAAUGAGACCCAGGUGUCUCAUCUCCCGAGGGCGUGGGCCGAGGGCGUGAACCCACAGUGAGUUCCGCCCCGGCGAGAGAGAAGCGGAGAGAGAGAGGAAGAGAGCGAGAGGAACAGAGAGAGCUGAUCAGCGUGCAGCUGAUCCGCCUGGCCGUGACAGUACCCCCCCCCCGACGGGAGCCUCCCGGCGACUCCCAGGCUUGUCAGGGUGAGCCGCAUGGAACGCCCGCACCAUACCCCGAUCCAGAAGGGCCGUCCGCGGGAUCCAAGAACGCUCCUCCAUCCCGUAGCCCUCCCAAUCCACGAGAUACCGCAGACCGUGCCCCCGGCGCCGGACAUCCAUGAUCCAUGAAAUGGUGAAAGCCGGGUGGCCAUCAAUGACCCGGGCGGGUGGAGGGGGCCUGGAAGGAGGGCACAGAGGACUAGAGAGGCACGGCUUCACUUGUGACACGUGAAAGGUGUUAUGGAUUUUCAUAUUCCGGGGCAGUUUAACGGUGUGUUCACACCGAACGCGAUAGAGGCGGCCAGAGCGUCAGGUUUACAUGUAAAGUCAAUGGAAAGAGCGCGAUGACACGCGAUUGCGCGUCCGGCGAAAAUUCGGAGGCAGAUUUGCGUCGCGAAAACGCCAAAACGCGUGAAACGCGCGUCAGUGUACCGCGUCUGGCGCGUUUGACUCGUGGAAAAAACCACGCGCGUGAGUUUUUGUGUUGCAUUUUGUGCAUACGCGUGUUUCGCCUCUACCUCGAGUUGGAAAAAUUUGAACUCCAGCGUCAAAUCGCGCGCGUCAACCAAUCAGGAUCCUGGUGACGUGACUGUAACCAGGUCAAAGGGGCAGAUCAAACCAAAGCCCUUCAUUCUUCAGUGGAGGGAAGGCUAAUCAACGCCGUAGCAAACAACUCGGAGCUGUACGACACCAGCUGCUUUGUGUAUCGAGACAGGAAUAUAAAGGACCGAGCUUGGACGAAGAUAUGUGAAGAGAUCGGGCAACCUGGUAAGUUCAUUCAUUUCUCUUUUUAUAUUUUUCACUGACCCGGGGAAGCCGCACAAAAGCUAGCAAGCCACCGCUAUUUUCCCACUGAUGUACAAAUACCGUUCUGCUUUUAUGCAUGUUGUCAUAUAGGAAUAUAUUUUGUUUAUUAAUAAACAGCACACAGUGGUCCCGCUCAUCCGUCACUGCCUCGCUUUUUCGCUGAUUUUUUUGUUUUUUUUUGUUUUGCACAGUACAGCAUUGCAUUCUGCAGCCUGAUUGACAAAUCUCCUCCGUGUCGUGUCUCCUGCGCUUGUCAAAUUUAUCAUGUUUUGUUUUUAUAACCAUCACGUCCAAUAGAUAAAACAGCACAAAAACACCCAUAACUAUGACCCUCAUUCGGAAAUAGACGCUUGCACCGCGAGGGAAAAAGCCGCACGAAAGUGGCAGGCAGAUGAAGACAAAACACGGCAUAAUACUUUUAGGUUUUGCAAUCUACAAAGGUUUGCACUUUGAGAAUCAACUUGUGAGAACUGUGACUAAUGUUCAUGUGUGUGGGGAAAAAAGUGUAUAAAGUGCGUGGCGAGGGGCUAGUUAUUCUGACAACCCCUGCUGCAAUAAAUGAGGGACCACUGUAUAUACUUUCUCUAUGAUUAUUGUAUUCAACCUGUUCACAUUUAAUAUUGUCUUGACAGAACCAGCUGAUUCUGCAGCAGAGCCAUCCCCUGUUGCUUCUCCUUGCUCCCCAGUCCCUGAGCUACUGCUGCUGCACCCACAGGCCCAGAGAGGAGGACAGCUCCGAGGCAGAUGAGGGACUGGUCCCAGGACGGUCCAUCGGCGGUGGAGCUGGCCAUCCUGGUGUCCCUGAAGAGGCCACGCCAGUCUCCAAUGGAGCAUUUCCUCCUCAGCCUUGUUCCUGCUCUGGAGAGCAGCUGGGUCCUUUUAUUCCUGUCUCUCUAAAAAUACUUAUAUUUUAUAUAUUUAUGUUCAAUGUUUUUCUGUUUGAGAAUUUUAAUAUUAUUUCAAAUAAAUUUUUAUAAUGACUAAUGUCUCAGUUCUACUACACAGCAAAUGUUGGCACACGACUUGGCACAUGUAGAAUUUAUUUCAUAUUAUACUAAUGACAAAA
ensembl:lncRNA